rnacentral:rRNA from 1 species
AUACGUAGGGGGCGAGCGUUGUCCGGAAUGAUUGGGCGUAAAGGGCGCGUAGGCGGCGCGGUAAGUCUGGAGUGAAAGUCCUGCUUUCAAGGUGGGAAUUGCUUUGGAUACUGCCGCGCUUGAGUGCAGGAGAGGUUAUCGGAAUUCCCGGUGUAGCGGUGAAAUGCGAAGAGAUCGGGAGGAACACCAGUGGCGAAGGCGGGUAACUGGACUGCAACUGACGCUGAGGCGCGAAAGUGUGGGGAGCAAACAGGAUUAGAUACCCUGGUAGUCCACACUGUAAACGAUGAAUGCUAGGUGUAAGAGGUAUCGACCCCUUUUGUGCCGGAGUCAACACAAUAAGCAUUCCGCCUGGGGAGUACGGCCGCAAGGUUGAAACUCAAAUGAAUUGACGGGG